rnacentral:rRNA from 1 species
GACGAACGCUGGCGGCGUGCCUAAUACAUGCAAGUCGAGCGAACAGACCAUGACCUUGCUCCUCUGACGUCAGCCGCGGAAGUGACAGUUACGUGUGCAGAACCUCCCUAUAAGACUGGGAUAACUUCGUGAAUCCGGUGCUAAUACCGGACAAUAUAUUGAACGGCAUGGUUAAAUUGUUAUAGACGGUUUUUCUGUCCCCUAUCUAUGGAUUCGCUCGUCAUUAGCUAGUCUGUAAGGUAACGGCUUACCAAGGCAACGAUGCGUAUCCGACCCGACAGGGGGAACGCCCACACUGGGACUGAGACACGGUCCAGACUCCUACGGGAGGCAGCAGUAGGGACUCUUGCGCGAUGGGCGAAAGCUUGAAGGAGCAACGCCGCGUGAGUGAUGAGGGUCUUCGGAUCGUAUAACGCUGUUAUUAGGGAAGAACCAAUGUGUAAGUAACUAUGCGCGUCUUGACGGUACCUAGUCAGAAAGCCCCGGCUAACUACGUG